rnacentral:rRNA from 1 species
UGGGGAAUAUUGCACAAUGGGCGAAAGCCUGAUGCAGCAACGCCGCGUGAGUGAUGAAGGCCUUCGGGUUGUAAAGCUCUGUCUUUUGGGACGAUAAUGACGGUACCAAAGGAGGAAGCCACGGCUAACUACGUGCCAGCAGCCGCGGUAAUACGUAGGUGGCAAGCGUUGUCCGGAUUUACUGGGCGUAAAGGAUGCGUAGACGGAUUUUUGAAGUGAGAUGUGAAAAGCCCUAAGCUUAACUUGGGGACUGCAUUUCAUACUGGAAAUCUAGAGUGCGGGAGAGGAGAAUGGAAUUCCUAGUGUAGCGGUGAAAUGCGUAGAGAUUAGGAAGAACACCAGUGGCGAAGGCGAUUCUCUGGACCGUAACUGACGCUGAGGCAUGAAAGCGUGGGUAGCAAACAGGAUUAGAUACCCUGGUAGUCCACGCCGUAAACGAUGAGUACUAGGUGUAGGAGGUAUCGACCCCUUCUGUGCCGCAGUUAACACAAUAAGUACUCCGCCUGGGAAGUACGAUCGCAAGAUUAAAACUUAAGGAAUUGACGGGGUCAUAGCUG